CAUGUGGUUAAUUCGAAGCAACGCGAAGAACCUUACCAGGUCUUGACAUCCCGAUGCUAUUUCUAGAGAUAGAAAGUUACUUCGGUACAUCGGUGACAGGUGGUGCAUGGUUGUCGUCAGCUCGUGUCGUGAGAUGUUGGGUUAAGUCCCGCAACGAGCGCAACCCCUAUUGUUAGUUGCCAUCAUUCAGUUGGGCACUCUAGCGAGACUGCCGGUAAUAAACCGGAGGAAGGUGGGGAUGACGUCAAAUCAUCAUGCCCCUCAUGACCUGGGCUACACACGUGCUACAAUGGUUGGUACAACGAGUUGCGAGUCGGUGACGGCGAGCUAAUCUCUUAAAGCCAAUCUCAGUUCGGAUUGUAGGCCGCAACUCGCCUACAUGAAGUCGGAAUCGCUAGUAAUCGCGGACCAGCACGCCGCGGUGAAUACGUUCCCGGGCCUU
rnacentral:rRNA from 1 species